UAUAACUGAGGAAUCUCACAAAUACUUCCCCAGGCACCGAAGGAGGCAUUGCCACGUCGUGGGGCCGACUCACUCUGGUUUGUCGGUCAGGGUCUGGACCUCCUCCAAGACAGCCAUGGGUAAUGUCCUGCUUCAUGCUGAGAGGUCGUUGCUGCGCCUGCCCGAGCUCUACAUAUCCCUCGGUUAAGGGUGGGUACGGCUGAUCAAUUUCAAUUACAGUGAAUAUAAAAACGAGGGAUUUACGCGGCCUGCUUAAAUCAUUCGAGAAAGCAUGAAAAUGACCCUCCAAAGGACGCUUCUUGCCAGGUCUCUGUGACCUGACUUGCCUGGUGCUGUGAACCUCGGAGCUGUCUACACUUAUCAAGAGGACAUGUGUGCGGGCAAUAGUACAAUUCAGCAUUAUGACAUUCUUCGAACUAGCCUAAUGGUUUUGGAUGGAUAACAAAAUUGAAGAGCCAUAAUAUUAAAAAUCCCAGCUUGCUGGAUUGAUGGAGCAAUGUGCAGAGAGACAGAAAGAAAACUAUUUCAAGUGCUCUGGUAUGAGGUUGGAAGGCCAGUUGGAUUGUGUAUCAUACUGGUCAUGCUAAAGACAGCAGCUGCAAAAUUACAGUAGCGUGCUCUCACCACAACUGACUGCGCUACACAGAAACAAUUAAUCAGAGGUUAACCCGACAAACCUCAUGGAGGAUCUUUAAUUUGUUGUACCUAAACUCCCCCUGAAAAAAAGACAGAGCACAGCAAAGCUUUUUCUAAAAGGACAAGAAGUGAUGUCAUCUGCUUGAUCAGAGUGGGGCUGCAGAGACACGAGGAAGCCCACCAUGGUUGUCCCACUCAUCUCUCCCAUACUCUCAUUGAUCGCAAUUGUACGUCAUCAAUUCUUCCAGAGGUACAAUCAAUCAGCGAGGCACUGAACUAACUACUCUGGAUACUGGAUACAAAACCAAACCAAAAGUGUGAAGCAGGGAAAUUUCUUGGCUGGAAUCAGGGGAAUUCGCUUCCAAAUAAGGAGUUCCUAUCUGUGGAGGUAACUAGAGAGUAUGUCAGCUCCAGUUUGGAUUUAGCCUCUUAUGAAGACUUCAGAUGCCCCAAUACCUGUGAAGAGAUGACUCCAACCCCUGUGAGGACUUCAGAUGAUGAAUCAACAUGCACCAAUGCUAAAUUUUCUAUAUAUUGUAAUCAUUAUGUUCACAAUCUGCCUAAAAUUAAAACAUUAUGUUAGCCAACUGCAUGAUUUGUAUGUAUAUUUCUGAAAAACAUUACUUGGACACAGUCACCUCUGAUAAAAGAUCACUCUAAAUUGUAAUGUAGUCACGUACAUUUUC